GAUGAACGCUGGCGGCGUGCCUAAUACAUGCGAGUCGAGCGAACGGACGAGAAGCUUGCUUUUCUGAUGUUAGCGGCGGACGGGUGAGUAACACGUGGAUAACCUACCUAUAAGACUGGGAUAACUUCGGGAAACCGGAGCUAAUACCGGAUAAUAUUUUGAACCGCAUGGUUCAAAAGCGAAAGACGGUCUUGCUGUCACUUAUAGAUGGAUCCGCGCUGCAUUAGCUAGUUGGUAAGGUAACGGCUUACCAAGGCAACGAUGCAUAGCCGACCUGAGAGGGUGAUCGGCCACACUGGAACUGAGACACGGUCCAGACUCCUACGGGAGGCAGCAGUAGGGAAUCUUCCGCAAUGGGCGAAAGCCUGACGGAGCAACGCCGCGUGAGUGAUGAAGGUCUUCGGAUCGUAAAACUCUGUUAUUAGGGAAGAACAUAUGUGUAAGUAACUGUGCACAUCUUGACGGUACCUAAUCAGAAAGCCACGGCUAACUACGUG
rnacentral:rRNA from 1 species